AAUCCUAAUGUGAUUGGGAUUCCUGAUUCUAUAAAUAGGGAUUAGUUUCUAUUAUUAUUAGUAGAGACUUGAUAUGAUAAUUAUUUGAAAUUAAUAUAAUUUGAGAUAUCUUUUCUCUUAAGGAUUUGUUCCUUGUUUACCUUUGUUCUUUCGAGUGUUAUACCAAUUUGGUAUUAGAGCUAUAAUUCGAUCCUUCCACCCUUGAACUAUAAAGUUUUCCUUGCUUCCUAUUGUUUGAGUAGAAAAAGAAAAUGAAAAUACAGAACAAAGAUGAAGAAGCCUUCACAAUGCCAAAAGCCAAAGACCCACCCACAACCCCCUGGCCAGCAUACAGAUUCACUGUAACCACAGAUUACCUCCCCCUCCCCAGGCGACUUGUAGGAGCAAAUCUGGUCGCCGGAAGUCACCCACAACUAAAGAUUCAUCCAGGUGAAGUGAUGAUUCGAAUUGUAACUCACAAGGUUGGCAUCUAUACCUUACUCGACACUCACCGGCCACCAAUCUGCCAAUUCCCAUUGUCAUAGUCAUGGUUUUAAAAAAAGGCCAUUACAUUACGUAACAGCUGUUAUUCAUAGGUUUUUUGUCCUCCCGUUACCGUGACAUCUAUUACUUAAAAGUACAAGAAAAUUUGUUUCUAUAAUGGUUGUUACACCCAUUUCUUAACAGUAAAGGUCGUUAUUUACUGUUAAGUAACGGUAAUGGCAAUUACUUUAAUUAUGCAUCUGCCCAAAUCACAUGCAAAAACUACUAUUUUUUUCUUCUCUUUUCAUUGAUG
rnacentral:misc_RNA from 1 species